UACAGAGGUCUCAAGCGUUGUUCGGAUUCAUUGGGCGUAAAGGGUGCGUAGGUGGCGCUGUAAGUCGGGUGUGAAAUUUCGGAGCUUAACUCCGAAACUGCAUUCGAUACUGCGGUGCUUGAGGACUGGAGAGGAGACUGGAAUUUACGGUGUAGCAGUGAAAUGCGUAGAUAUCGUAAGGAAGACCAGUGGCGAAGGCGAGUCUCUGGACAGUUACUGACGCUGAGGCACGAAGGCCAGGGGAGCAAACGGG
rnacentral:rRNA from 1 species